UACGAAGGGGGCUAGCGUUGCUCGGAAUCACUGGGCGUAAAGCGCACGUAGGCGGCUUGUUAAGUCAGGGGUGAAAUCCUGGAGCUCAACUCCAGAACUGCCUUUGAUACUGGCGAGCUUGAGUCCGGGAGAGGUGAGUGGAACUGCGAGUAUAGAGGUGAAAUUCGUAGAUAUUCGCAAGAACACCAGUGGCGAAGGCGGCUCACUGGCCCGGUACUGACGCUGAGGUGCGAAAGCGUGGGGAGCAAACAGG
rnacentral:rRNA from 1 species